UGGAUGUGCAGGGUGUGUGGGAGAUGGGGUGCACAAGUGUGACAGGUACAGGAUGAAUGGCAUGUGGCCUUGCUGCACGUGCAGUGCGAGGGGUGGGUGACGUGCUGCGUGUGCACCACUGCAGUGUGCUGUGCAUGCAGUGAGCUGUGAGUGUGCACUGCAGUGUGAAGGGUGUGCACAGUGCACAUUCACUGUGGGAGGUGUGAGCUGUGCAGUGCGGUGUGUGCAUGUGCAGGGCACAGUCACAGUGUGUGAGCUCUGCAGUGCAGUGUGUGUGUGCAGUGAAUGCUCACUAUGUGAGGUGUGAGCUCUUCAGUGCAGUGAGGCAUGUUCAGUGCAUGCUCAUUGCGGGAGGUGUGGGCUGUGCAGUGCAGUGAGGUGUGUGUGUACAGUGCACACUCACUGUGAAACUGUGAUUUCUGCAGUGCAAUGUGUAUGUGCAGGUCAUGCUCAUGGUGGGAAGUGUGAGCUGUGCAGCGCAGUGUGUGUAUGCAG